UCGUUUGUAACUUGGGCAGGGUAUGAGUGAGAUAAAUCCUAAGGGGUACUAGGCUAAGAUUCAAAGGGAGAAAAGAGAUUUGAAAGAACUUGCGGGAGUUAAACUAUAUUCAUCCACUUUCAAACAACAAUUUUUCCGCUAUUUUUCUUCUGUUAGAUCUUUUUAUUCUCUCUUUUUUUCAGAAGGAAAAUGUAAUGACAUCCUUGCUGUUUUUUUCCAGUUUUUUUUAUAUUUUUUAUCUUCUU
rnacentral:lncRNA from 1 species